CAUUUAAAGAAAGCGUAAUAGCUCACUGGUCGAGUCGGCCUGCGCGGAAGAUGUAACGGGGCUAAACCAUGCACCGAAGCUGCGGCAGCGACACUCAGGUGUUGUUGGGUAGGGGAGCGUUCUGUAAGCCUGUGAAGGUGGCCUGUGAGGGUUGCUGGAGGUAUCAGAAGUGCGAAUGCUGACAUAAGUAACGAUAAAGCGGGUGAAAAGCCCGCUCGCCGGAA
rnacentral:rRNA from 1 species